rnacentral:rRNA from 1 species
UACGUAGGGACCAAGCGUUGUUCGGAUUUACUGGGCGUAAAGGGCGCGUAGGCGGCAAUUCAAGUCAGCUGUGAAAUCUCCGGGCUUAACUCGGAACGGUCAGCUGAUACUGCUUUGCUAGAGUGCAGAAGGGGCAAUCGGAAUUCUUGGUGUAGCGGUGAAAUGCGUAGAUAUCAGGAGGAACACCGGUGGCGAAGGCGGAUCUCUGGGCCAUUACUGACGCUGAGGAGCGAAAGCGUGGGGAGCGAACAGG